rnacentral:rRNA from 1 species
AUGGUCUACUCCAAGCCUCGACAGCUUCUAACAAACGAGAUACCGCUGAUCGUCGAUGACUUCAGACGCGCUGCCCGUAACGCCAUCGAGGCGGGGUUUGACGGCGUUGAGAUCCACGGGGCACACGGGUACCUAUUGGAGCAGUUCAUGAAAGAUAGCUCUAACGACCGCACCGACGAGUAUGGUGGCAGCCUCGAGAACCGAUGCCGCUUUGCGGUGGAAGUAAUUGAUGCUAUCAUCAAUGAAAUUGGUGCAGAUCGUGUAGGAAUCAGAUUGUCUCCAUUCGUGGACUAUAUGGACUGCUUCGACUCCAACCCACAUGCACUCGGGAUGUACAUGGUACAACAACUCAACAAACAUCAAGGGUUUGUCUAUUGCCAUAUGGUAGAGCCGCGGAUGGCCAUUGUGGAUGGACGCAGGCAGAUACCGCACGGGCUCCUGCCCUUCAGGAAAGCAUUCAAGGGCACUUUCAUUGCCGCUGGAGGGUAUGAUCGGGAGGAAGGCAACAAAGUGGUGGCCGACGGCUAUGCUGAUCUCGUUGCUUACGGGAGGAUCUUUCUGGCCAAUCCAGAUUUGCCUAAGAGAUUCGAGCUCGACUCACCCUUGAACAAGUACGACCGUAAGACUUUCUACACGCAAGAUCCUAUCGUUGGCUACACAGAUUAUCCUUUCCUCGAAGGUGGCUCGAAUGCCGAGUAG